rnacentral:rRNA from 1 species
UACGAGGGGGGCAAGCGUUGUUCGGAAUCACUGGGCGUAAAGGGAGCGUAGGCGGCGUGGUAAGUCAGAUGUGAAAUCCCGGGGCUCAACCCCGGAACUGCAUCCGAUACUGCCAUGCUAGAGGAUUGGAGAGGUAGCUGGAAUUCUUGGUGUAGCAGUGAAAUGCGUAGAGAUCAAGAGGAACACUCGUGGCGAAAGCGAGCUACUGGACAAUUCCUGACGCUGAGGCUCGAAGGCUAGGGUAGCGAAAGGG